AAAGGAAUAGACGGGGACCCGCACAAGCGGUGGAGCAUGUGGUUUAAUUCGACGAUACGCGAAGAACCUUACCUGGCCUUGACAUAGGAAGAACUUACUAGAGAUAGUUCGGUGCUAGUUUACUAGAACUUCCAUACAGGUGCUGCACGGCUGUCGUCAGCUCGUGUCGUGAGAUGUUGGGUUAAGUCCCGCAACGAGCGCAACCCUCGUGUUUAGUUACUAACAGUUCGGCUGAGGACUCUAGACAGACUGCCUGGGUAACCAGGAGGAAGGUGAGGACGACGUCAAGUCAUCAUGGCCCUUACGGCCAGGGCUACACACGUGCUACAAUGGGGUAUACAAAGAGCCGCGAUACCGUGAGGUGGAGCAAAUCUAUAAAAUAUCUCCCAGUUCGGAUAGUAGUCUGCAACUCGACUACUUGAAGUUGGAAUCGCUAGUAAUCGUAGAUCAGCAAUGCUACGGUGAAUA
rnacentral:rRNA from 1 species